UUGUAAUUUGUAGAGAGUGUUUUCGGGUGAGACCACGGUCUAAGUCCAUUGGAACAUGGCGUCAUAGAGGGUGAGAAUCCCGUAUGUGACUGUGGCUCGAGCCCAUGUGAAGCCUCUUCGACGAGUCGAGUUGUUUGGGAAUGCAGCUCAAAAUGGGUGGUAAAUUUCAUCUAAAGCUAAAUACUGGCUGGAGACCGAUAGCGCACAAGUAGAGUGAUCGAAAGAUGAAAAGCACUUUGGAAAGAGAGUCAAACAGUACGUGAAAUUGUUGAAAGGGAAGCGCUUGCAACCAGACCUGCCCGUGGGUGAUCAGCCGCUGUUCUCAGCGGUGCACUCGCUCCACGAUCAGGCCAGCAUCGGUUUCGGCGGUCGGAUAAAGGCCUUGGGAAUGUAGCUUCCCUUCGGGGGAGUCUUAUAGCCCUCGGUGCAAUGCGGCCAGCCGGGACCGAGGACCGCGCUUCGGCUAGGAUGCUGGCGUAAUGGUUGUAAGCGACCCGUCUUGAAACACGGACCAAGGAGUCUAACAUCUAUGCGAGUGUUUGGGUGUCAAACCCAUACGCGGAAUGAAAGUGAACGGAGGUGAGAACCCUUAAGGGCGCAUCAUCGACCGAUCCAGAUGUCUUCGGAUGGAUUUGAGUAUGAGCAUAGCUGUUGGGACCCGAAAGGUAAGAAAACCCCCUUUUUUCCUCCAACAUGGACCUCAGCUAAUUUGAUCGCAGAUGGUGAACUAUGCCUGAAUAGGGUGAAGCCAGAGGAAACUCUGGUGGAGGCUCGCAGCGGUUCUGACGUGCAAAUCGAUCGUCGAAUUUGGGUA
rnacentral:rRNA from 1 species